GAAAUGCGAUAAGUAGUGUGAAUUACAGAAUUCAGUGAAUCAUCGAAUCUUUGAACGCACAUUGCGCCCCUUGGUAUUCCAUGGGGCAUGCCUGUUCGAGCGUCAUUUGUACCCUCAAGCUCUGCUUGGUGUUGGGUGUUUGUCCCCGUCUCCGCGCGUGGACUCGCCCCAAAGUGAUUGGCAGCCGGCGUACUGGUCCCGGAGCGCAGCACAUGUCGCGCAAACGAGUGCCUUGGUACGGCGGCGUCCAUAAGCCCCUCUCUCACGCUCUUGACCUCGGAUCAGGUAGGGAUACCCGCUGAACUUAAGC
rnacentral:misc_RNA from 1 species